rnacentral:rRNA from 1 species
GAUGAACGCUAGCGGCAGGCUUAACACAUGCAAGUCGAGGGGUAUAGUUCUUCGGAGCUAGAGACCGGCGCACGGGUGCGUAACGCGUAUGCAAUCUACCUUUUACAAGGGGAUAGCCCAGAGAAAUUUGGAUUAAUACCCCAUAGUAUAAUGAGUUAGCAUCAGCUUAUUAUUAAAGUACCAACGGUAAAAGAUGAGCAUGCGUCCCAUUAGCUAGAUGGUAAGGUAACGGCUUACCAUGGCCACGAUGGGUAGGGGUCCUGAGAGGGAGAUCCCCCACACUGGUACUGAGACACGGACCAGACUCCUACGGGAGGCAGCAGUGAGGAAUAUUGGUCAAUGGGCGCAAGCCUGAACCAGCCAUGCCGCGUGCAGGAAGAAUGUCCUAUGGAUUGUAAACUGCUUUUGCACAGGAAGAAACAACUCUACGAGUAGAGUCUUGACGGUACUGUGAGAAUAAGGAUCGGCUAACUCCGUGCCAGCAGCCGCGGUAAUAC